rnacentral:rRNA from 1 species
GACGAACGCUGGCGGCGUGCCUAAUACAUGCAAGUCGAACGCACUCUCGUUUAGAUUGAAGGAGUUUGCUCCUGAUUGAUAAACAUUUGAGUGAGUGGCGGACGGGUGAGUAACACGUGGGUAACCUGCCCUAAAGUGGGGGAUCACAUUUGGAAACAGAUGCUAAUACCGCAUAAAACCUAACACCGCAUGGUGUAGGGUUGAAAGAUGGUUUCGGCUAUCACUUUAGGAUGGACCCGCGGUGCAUUAGUUAGUUGGUGAGGUAAAGGCUCACCAAGACCGUGAUGCAUAGCCGACCUGAGAGGGUAAUCGGCCACACUGGGACUGAGACACGGCCCAGACUCCUACGGGAGGCAGCAGUAGGGAAUCUUCCACAAUGGACGAAAGUCUGAUGGAGCAACGCCGCGUGAGUGAAGAAGGUUUUCGGAUCGUAAAACUCUGUUGUUGGAGAAGAAUGUAUCUGAUAGUAACUGAUCAGGUAGUGACGGUAUCCAACCAGAAAGCCACGGCUAACUACGUG